GUACUCUGGUUUCCCUUAAAAUCACGUAUAAAUCUUUCGCCUUUUACUACAGAUUUUCGUGGAGGGAACAACUGAGUCUAUGAAAUAAUUUUUUAUAGUAAACUUUUUAAGAUGGGUUA